UACGUAGGGCGCAAGCGUUGUCCGGAAUUAUUGGGCGUAAAGAGCUCGUAGGCGGUUUGUCGCGUCUGCUGUGAAAUCCCGAGGCUCAACCUCGGGCUUGCAGUGGGUACGGGCAGACUAGAGUGCGGUAGGGGAGACUGGAAUUCCUGGUGUAGCGGUGGAAUGCGCAGAUAUCAGGAGGAACACCGAUGGCGAAGGCAGGUCUCUGGGCCGCAACUGACGCUGAGGAGCGGAAAGCAUGGGGAGCGAACAGG
rnacentral:rRNA from 1 species